rnacentral:lncRNA from 1 species
GAGUGCUCUGUGCUGGAAGAAGAGGAGUCGAGGCUGCUGGAGACAUCAGGGCUCAGUGGCUCCGUGGCAGUGAUGCGCUGCAUCAGCUCUUGCGUUUGGCAGCUGUUUGCAGUGGCUUUGGUCCCCUCUCUUGUGACACCGGGCAGGUCCUGCUUGUGCUGGGGGACCUCCAGAGCCGCUUCUGAAAAAGCAAGAACAUCCCCCCGAACGAUGAUGGCAGCCUUCCCACAGCCACUCGGUGCAGGCAGCCACCUCUGGGGGUCACCUCUGCGGAGCACAGUCUCACCGUCAAUCCAGUUCCAAGCAGGUGGGCUCUCAGUGUCUUGCAAGUGCCAUCUAGCAGCAGCAGGUCCAGCCAGGAGGCACAGCACCCUGCAACCUCCAGGGGCCUUUGUGCAGCAGCAGAUGUUGAUGCCCUAGAAGCACGGUGCGGAGCACAUCCUGGGAUCAAGGUGCCACGGACUGGAAAAUGCUGCUGUGGCGGAGUUCCUGUGUGAAGACAAAACUCCCAGUCCCCCAGAAAUGUGGAGGCAGAAGAGCAGUGACAAGUGGAAGGUCUCUGUUCAGCCAGUCCAGCCUCCUUGCCCAUCAGCUCAUCUUCCAUGACCUGGGGAUGGUCAGCUCCUGCACCUUUAAAAUUACUUCUGGAAAGUAUUGCCAGCCUUCCUGGGCUCCCACGCCCUCCAAAAGUACUUCCCAAGGGACCCUCUCAACCAUGGUCCUAAAGAGGUUCGAGUUUGCUCUCUGGAAGUCCAAGGUGGCAGUUCUGCUGACUCCCCUCCGUGGUUCAACAAGGAUUGAGAAAUCUAGCAUCUCACGAUCCCUUUGCCCCAGGCGGCCUCCAGCCUUGACAUCCCCCACAAGACCUUCUCUGUUAACAAACAGCAGGAUUUUGCUUCCCCUUGCUGGCUGCCUCACCAGCUGUGUCAGGAAGUGAUCUCCCAC